GGUCAAGCGAGAAAGUGCGCACGGUGGAUGCCUUGGCACAGACCGGCGAUGAAGGACGUGGCAAGCUGCGAAAAGCCUCGGGGAGCUGCAAGCAAGCUCAGAUCCGGGGGUGUCCGAAUGGGGGAACCCGGCGGGAGCAGUCCCGUCACCCUUAGGGGAGCCAACCCAGGGAACUGAAACAUCUAAGUACCUGGAGGAAAAGAAAUCAAU
rnacentral:rRNA from 1 species